CCUAGUCACAUCGUCCAUUAUGAAAAUCUCCAAAUCAACAAGGACCUUACAUACGAAGAAGAGCCAAGUGUUAUAUUAGAUCGAAAAGUAAAGGUCUUGCGAGGUAAAGAAAUACCCCUAGUCAAAAUUCAAUGGACUAGGCACGGACCUGAUGAAGCUACUUGGGAACGUGAAGAAGAAAUUCUAGCUCGAUAUCCCCAGUUAGAACCAAGUAAGUUAAAUUUCGAGGACGAAAUUUUAUUUAAGUGGGUAGGGUUGUAACAGCCCGAAACCAAAUAAUUCAUUUAAAUUUUUUUGUUUUGAAUUAUUUCAUAUUUAAAUUAUUUUGAAGCAUUUUAUAUUUAAAUUGUGAGGUUAUUUAAAACUUUAGUCUAUGUCAUGAAUUAUCUAAUCGCGCCGCUAGUUAGAUGUGACUUUGAACUAUAAAUUAUAUCUAUAAAAAAAAUAGAAAUUUAUUUUCCCAAAUAUUCUUUUAAUAUGAAUUUGGGCCUAAAUAAACUAUUUGCAGCCUAUUUAGCUCAUCUAUAUUGGGCCAUAAUUACUUAUUUAUUUAAUUACUUUUUGGGCUAGAUUUUUAAAAGAGCCCAUAACAUUUUAAUAGCUUAAUGGAAUAAUUCUUUUGUUUGUACUGUUUCCUAAUCUUGUGACUGCAAUACGUGUUUCCUUUCUCAAGAAGCCACAAUUUGUUUUCCAUUUUCAGCUUGUGACUGCAAUACGUGUUUCCUUUCUCAAGAAACCACAAUUUGUUUUCCAUUUUCAGCCAGCCAAAUUUGAUUUCUUUCCGUAAUAUUUGAUAAACACAGCAGCACGUAAGAUUUGAUCAACACAGCAACAAACUUUGAUUUCAAACUUUGAUUUCUACCGCAGCAAACUUUGAUUUCUUUCACACAGUAGUUGACGAACAAGUAAAUUCAAUCUAUUUAAACCUCAUUGUAUCAUCCUCAAAUUCACAAAUCAACAAAACAAAUUCAGUCUUUUAAGAUUCAUCCUGUUUCUUCCCACUGCCGAAUCUCCAUCGGUGCGGCGCGACUAGGACAUAACUGUUGAUCUGAAAUUAUUCAAGUUAUCUAUCAAAUCCAUAUUUUCAGGUGUGGGAUUUAUUUCAGUACAUGCACGUGGUUAAUAUUUGUCCAUUUUAAUAUUAUGUGUUUACCGUAUGUGUUGUAAAAAUAUUUAUCGCUAGGGGCCAGCAUAAUUGGUCCAGGACUUCACCGUCCUUGGUAUGCCACAAUGCGAUUUCAUGUUACAGGGUUGCAACCAUUAUAUUGUCGCCAGGGAUCCAUAUAUAGGGUCCGGGACAUUAAAGUCCUUGGAGUUGCCACAGUGCGUAUGGAAGUUAUGUUACGUUAUGACAAUAUGUGUUACCAUUUUAUUAACAUGGACAAUUAUUGCAUGUUCCCACACUGAGUGUACCCUGUAUGCUCAUCCCAUAUUCAACAGUUUCAGGUGAUUGAUAUCGGAGGCGCGUGGAGAGUCGAAUGGGCGCGUCGAAUCUAUUUAAAAAUAAAUGUUUCUUAAAACAUAUUAUGUUAUUUCAUGUGAUAUCUUUUGGUUAUGUAAACUCUGAAAUUCUAUACUA